rnacentral:rRNA from 1 species
GACGAACGCUGGCGGCGUGCCUAAUACAUGCAAGUAGAACGCUGAGGACUGGUGCUUGCACUGGUCUAAGGAGUUGCGAACGGGUGAGUAACGCGUAGGUAACCUACCUCAAAGAGGGGGACAACAGUUGGAAACGACUGCUAAUACCGCAUAAGCCCACAGGUCGGCAUCGACCAGAGGGAAAAGGAGCAAUCCGCUUUGAGAUGGCCUCGCGUCCGAUUAGCUGGUUGGUGAGGUAACGGCCCACCAAGGCAACGAUCGGUAGCCGGACUGAGAGGUUGAACGGCCACAUUGGGACUGAGACACGGCCCAG